AGAUCAAAACUGGGAACAUAAUCCCCAAAAAGGGAGAAAAACAGGGACAUUUCCAGUUUGACUAUCAUUCUGAUUGAAACACCUAAUGUGUAAAUAGUGGCAGUAAAGUCAUACACACACGGGUCCCAGUACUCUGUCUAAAAUAGCAGGAUGAAAUGAAAAGUGACAGUUUUUUUUUUAAACUGCACAUUUACUUUUAAGACAAAGUGGGUGAAGAAGAUCUGAGAAGAUGUGUGGUUUCCACCAUGAGAUGUGAUAGUAUGAGGGUGCUUUGUUAGUUUAGAUUAGAUUAAACUUUAUUUUCACAAUCAACCAGCAUGGCUAGCACAGCAUUUUACACCAAUAUGCCACCCCAUCUGGUUUGAACUUAGUGGGAUUAUCAUUUGUUUUUCAACAGGACAAUGACACAAAACACACCUUUAGGCUGUGCAAGAGCAAUUUGACUAAGGGGUGUGAUGGUACUGCAUCAGAUGACCAGGUCAACACAAUCACCCAAAGUGCUGAUGGAUCGAUAAUAAAAUGUUCCUAGCUUUAUAUAAAUGCAGAAUUCUUAAACACAUAGACUGGGCAAUAUCUGCCCAUUCAUCCUUGCUGAAUUGUUCAAGCUCAGUCAAAUUGCAUGAUUUAAGGACUACACUAAACAAGUCUUUCCUCAGAUUUGUGAUGGGAUUUAGGUACGGGCUCUUACUAGGCCACUCAAGGACAUUCACCUUCUUGUCUUUCAGCCUCUGUACUGUAGCUUUGGCUGUGUGCUUUGGGUUUUUUCAAGAUGAAAUGUGAACUAUCUUCGCAGUUUUAACUUCCUGGCAUAUGGCUGCAGGUUCUCCUCCAGAAUCUGUGGAUAUUUUGUACUGUCCAUUUACCCUUCCAUCCUGACAAGUGCUCCAGUCCCUGCUGAAGAGAAACACCCCCACAACAGAAAGCUGCCGUGCUUCAGUGUAGUGUGGGGGGCACCAGCUCCAGACUUCACCCCAGCUGAGGAAAUGGCCCUUGAUUUAUACCAAGGAAGGCCUGUGAUAGAAGGGAUUCAGGGUGGGACAGCUACAGGCUCUGUUCCACCUGCAGAAACUGCCCUCUUCAUACAAGUGUCCGGUGACACAGUUACUCUCCUGCCACCAGACGAUGAUCCAGUGAGUAUUAUUUAUUAAAAGAAUAUGGCUUGGCACAUCCUGUCAAUACAAAUUCUAUUUAAUAUGGCAGGGGGAAGGGGCUUCUGCAGCAUGGGAAGGGGCUGCUGCAGCUGAUGAUGAGGAGACUGGACUCCAGAAGGCCUGAGGUAUCAUGUGAAUCUUAUGGAAAUGCCUAUUUGGCCCAUAAUGGUUGACAAGUCAGUGAUGAAGCACUCAGAAAUGUAUGUAACAGGAUCCAGACGCAGUACAGUCUGACAGCCAGCCUGGCAACAUAGUAAGUAUGUAAGUAAUGGAAAUCUGAAUUGUGCACAAUUCCUGCUGUGCUAAUCAAUGGGUGGUUUACAGAAUGCACAAACUGUAAGACGUUUGUAUACAUGACAUCUGAACAAGCAAAUAGAGCUGGCAGAUGCACAGAUUGCUGUAAGCAAAAGGACUCCCCAGGAUCUGGAUCUUGGUAUAGAAAUCUAGAAGAAAACACUGAGGGAACUGGAUCUGGAGAUACAGAAACUAGAAAAAGAAGUUAGUGACCACACUGUCAGCACAUCUGUAAAACUAUGUAUUAAUCAUGUUUUUCUUUUUCUCUCCCAAGCUCCAAACUGACAAGUGACAGCACUAAAAUAAAAAGCUUAAGAAGCAUUGUGGUGUUCCCUGUGUUAUGAAUGUAUUCUAUACUAUGCAAAGUUAUUGGUUCAGUGAGGUGAGAUGAAAAUUGAGGUUAUGAAACCAAAGUAAGCUACUAUAAUAUCGAAUUAAAACAUUAGACCUAAUUAAGGAGUAACACAAACUAUCCUUUAUUAGAGAAGGACAAGACAA